rnacentral:lncRNA from 1 species
CAACUGUUACCCCAAAGAACCCUGCACACCACAGAAUCUUGCACUCGCUAUACUUUUUCGAAUACCCAGGAAACAACAAAGCUGUUAUUGAGUGUUACAAUCUCCUUACGUAGCCGUGUAAGAUUGUUGAUGCCCACCAUUAUUGCGACGAAGAACAUUGACCCUGCUCUACAGACAAGUCGUCGUCGAUCCUACAAAGGGCGUUACAGUGGCGGCAGAACCCAUGCAAUCUAUUCCAAAUAUCUUCUAUUAUCCGAUUACCAGAAAACAAAAUACAUUCAUUGCGAUGAUUUCGGAGAUGCAUUCGAGGAAGACCUGCCCUAACAACUUUAUCUGGAGUCAACCAAUUUUCAAUGUAUUCCAAGAGGCUGAUAUUCAUGCUCACCCCCAGUUGUUGAAAGUAACGAAAUAUACUCAUAUUAUAUAUAAACACUUUACAUGAAACCUGAUAUAGAAUAGAUAAACAUUCAAUUAAGAAAGUCGUAAAUAUUCACAUUUACUUCCGU